rnacentral:misc_RNA from 1 species
CGCAGCCUGAAAAAUCCGAAACAUCCUCUGCUCCCCGCUGAGGUCUCUGCGGUCCGACCCCGUGCUCCCCACGAGGUUAGUCCGCAGUUAACUAUGCGAGGGCCGUGCCAGAGCGUGCCGCUCCGUAAGAUAUUGUUCUGGCUAAUGAAUUAUUGAAGCCGUCAGGUGGCUGUCGGCCGCCCGGAGCGCCGAACUUGCCGUAUCCGGCAUAAAUUGCCGGGUUGUUUACUUCCCGUUAACCAUAAAUGGCCACUUUGGGGCAUGGGGUUCCGCGGACCGGUGUAACAGCAGAGCUGGUGGUCCCGACCUGUUGUCUUGCGAGAUAGGCACGAUGCGAAUCUACGGACCGAAUGGGACCA